GGCCUAACCCUUUUAGGGAGGGAGCCGUCGAAGGUGGGAUAGAUGAUUGGGGUGAAGUCGUAACAAGGUAGCCGUAUCGGAAGGUGCGGCUGGAUCACCUCCUUUCUAAGGAG
rnacentral:rRNA from 3 species